CUGGGUUCUAUGACCAGUUUGAGAAGCGAAUAAUGAAAGGUUAGAUAAAAUAAAUGGUUGUUUUGUUUCAGGCACUUCUGUUCAUCAUCAUAGAUUAAAAUUGUGUCAUCCAAUUCAUGAGAAAUUUGCUCUAGGUCAACACAAGUAAGUUUUUCCAUCAAACUUUAAUUACCUGCAUCUAUUAAUGCAUUGCUACUCAAACACGUAACAAUAUGUUUCACAGUUAACCAUUUUAACCAGGUCUUUCAUAUAGUCCCAUGGUAAUUAUACGACUGAGGGUUUCAGAUACCAAUUUUAAUUCAAGAAUCUUGAAACUUUAUAAUGAUUAAAAGGGAAUGAUUUGAUUAAAAUAGUUUUAACCAAUUUUGCUUUAAACAUCUGUGUAACAUAAAAUAACUCUCUGCUUUGCACAUAAAGUCAAAUGGCUUGGCCCAUGAUUUGUAGCAGCAAACAAUCAUUCCUGUGAACAAUGAAAUACCUAGCACCUUUUAAUAACCCUUAUGGAAACAGCAGAUGGUGGCAUCACAAAUGAGCCCAAUUGUGAUGGAAUGCAUAGUCUCAAAGGAACUCAAAAUGCCACUGUAACAGGAUUCCUAUAAAUAUCAACUACAUGUAUUUCCUAUAAGAGACCCUGGUAUUAAUUCCAGUUCAGGUGGGGGGGCAUAAAGUUCUGUCUUAAUGCCUAAAUAUUUAGGAUACCCAAAAGCUCCAUGUCUCCUUUCAGACCCUCUAAAAAUCUUUUGGAAAAGCUUAAUUACAAAUUUAUAACAAAAGCCAUUGGUCUGAGCUUCUUUUGGAAAUAAGUGAAAAGAGGAUUAAAAAAC